UAAGGGAAGGUUUUCCAGGUAAAUAAUUGGAGUGGGAUAAAAGGUAUUUUUAAGCAGAGGAGGACCUUUGCAGUGUCAUCAAGCACAAGAGAAUGUAUUGUCCUCAAGGACAUUAAAAGGCUCAGGACAGGUUGGAUGGAGCACAAGAGAAAUAAGAAGACUUUUAUUUAUAUUUCAUAGGAUCAAGAGAUGAGUCACCAAGAUGAGUGAACCCUGAGCACAGACUGAAGCUCUGCCAAGACUGUUCACAUUUGCUGACUGAAGCUCUCCAUGUUUGCCUAUUCAGAUUCCAAAGACCAUGGC